CUUGACCGAACCGAGCCACAGCGGACGGUCCGCGGGGCGGCCCUCGCCGUACGUGGCCAGGAUCGCCUGCGCCUC
rnacentral:antisense_RNA from 2 species